rnacentral:rRNA from 1 species
GUUGAAAAAUUAGCGGAUGACUUGUGGCUGGGGGUGAAAGGCCAAUCAAACCGGGAGAUAGCUGGUUCUCCCCGAAAUCUAUUUAGGUAGAGCCUUGAGCGGACACCUUCGGGGGUAGAGCACUGUUUCGGCUAGGGGUCCAUCCCGGAUUACCAACCCGAUGCAAACUACGAAUACCGAAGAGUGAUACUCAGGAGACACACGGCGGGUGCUAACGUCCGUCGUGGAGAGGGAAACAACCCAGACCGCCAGCUAAGGUCCCAAAGUCUAUAUUAAGUGGGAAACGAAGUGGGAAGGCUUAGACAGCUAGGAUGUUGGCUUAGAAGCAGCCAUCAUUUAAAGAAAGCGUAAUAGCUCACUAGUCGAGUCGGCCUGCGCGGAAGAUGUAACGGGGCUCAAAUAUAGCACCGAAGCUGCGGCAUCAGUAGCAAUACUGUUGGGUAGGGGAGCGUUCUGUAAGCGGAUGAAGAUGGCUCGAGAGGGCUGUUGGACGUAUCAGAAGUGCGAAUGCUGACAUAAGUAACGAUAAAACGGGUGAAAAACCCGUUCGCCGGAAGACCAAGGGUUCCUGUCCAACGUUAAUCGGGGCAGGGUGAGUCGGCCCCUAAGGCGAGGCUGAAAAGCGUAGUCGAUGGGAAACGGGUUAAUAUUCCCGUACUUGGAUAAACUGCGAUGUGGGGACGGAGCAGGUUAGGUUAUCGCACUGUUGGAUAUGUGCGUUUAAGUUGGUAGGUGUGAAGUUUAGGCAAAUCCGGACUUCUUUAACACCGAGAGAUGAUGACGAGGCUCUACGGAGCUGAAGUAACCGAUACCACACUUCCAGGAAAAGCCACUAAGCUUCAGGUUUAUCUAAACCGUACUGAAAACCGACACAGGUGGUCAGGUAGAGAAUACUCAGGCGCUUGAGAGAACUCGGGUGAAGGAACUAGGCAAAAUAGCACCGUAACUUCGGGAGAAGGUGCGCCGGCGUAGAUUGUAGUCCCUUGCGGAUGAAGGUUGAACCGGUCGAAGAUACCAGCUGGCUGCAACUGUUUAUUAAAAACACAGCACUCUGCAAACACGAAAGUGGACGUAUAGGGUGUGAUGCCUGCCCGGUGCUGGAAGGUUAAUUGAUGGUGUAAUCGAAAGAGAAGCUCCUGAUCGAAGCCCCAGUAAACGGCGGCCGUAACUAUAACGGUCCUAAGGUAGCGAAAUUCCUUGUCGGGUAAGUUCCGACCUGCACGAAUGGCAUAAUGAUGGCCAGGCUGUCUCCACCCGAGACUCAGUGAAAUUGAAAUCGCCGUGAAGAUGCGGUGUACCCGCGGCUAGACGGAAAGACCCCGUGAACCUUUACUAUAGCUUGACACUGAACAUUGAAUUUUGAUGUGUAGGAUAGGUGGGAGACUUAGAAGUAGUCACGCCAGUGAUUAUGGAGUCGUCCUUGAAAUACCACCCUUUAACGUUUGAUGUUCUAACGAAGAUUACGAAACGUGGUCUCGGACAGUGUCUGGUGGGUAGUUUGACUGGGGCGGUCUCCUCCCAAAGAGUAACGGAGGAGCACGAAGGUUUGCUAAUGACGGUCGGACAUCGUCAGGUUAGUGCAAUGGUAUAAGCAAGCUUAACUGCGAGACAGACAAGUCGAGCAGGUACGAAAGUAGGUCAUAGUGAUCCGGUGGUUCUGAAUGGAAGGGCCAUCGCUCAACGGAUAAAAGGUACUCCGGGGAUAACAGGCUGAUACCGCCCAAGAGUUCAUAUCGACGGCGGUGUUUGGCACCUCGAUGUCGGCUCAUCACAUCCUGGGGCUGAAGUAGGUCCCAAGGGUAUGGCUGUUCGCCAUUUAAAGUGGUACGCGAGCUGGGUUUAGAACGUCGUGAGACAGUUCGGUCCCUAUCUGCCGUGGGCGUUGGAGAAUUGAAAGGGGCUGCUCCUAGUACGAGAGGACCGGAGUGGACGCACCACUGGUGUUCCGGUUGUGUCGCCAGACGCAUUGCCGGGUAGCUAAGUGCGGAAGAGAUAAGUGCUGAAAGCAUCUAAGCACGAAACUUGCCUUGAGAUGAGUUCUCCCUGUCUUUAAGACAGUAAGGGUUGUUUAAGACUAAGACGUAGAUAGGUCUGGUGUGUAAGCGGUGCGAGCCGUUGAGCUAACAGAUACUAAUUGCCCGAGAGGCUUAACUAU